UGGGGAAUAUUGGACAAUGGGCGCAAGCCUGAUCCAGCCAUGCCGCGUGAGUGAUGAAGGCCCUAGGGUUGUAAAGCUCUUUCACCGGUGAAGAUAAUGACGGUAACCGGAGAAGAAGCCCCGGCUAACUUCGUGCCAGCAGCCGCGGUAAUACGAAGGGGGCUAGCGUUGUUCGGAUUUACUGGGCGUAAAGCGCACGUAGGCGGACUAUUAAGUCAGGGGUGAAAUCCCGGGGCUCAACCCCGGAACUGCCUUUGAUACUGGUAGUCUUGAGUUCGAGAGAGGUGGGUGGAAUUCCGAGUGUAGAGGUGAAAUUCGUAGAUAUUCGGAGGAACACCAGUGGCGAAGGCGGCUCACUGGCUCGAUACUGACGCUGAGGUGCGAAAGCGUGGGGAGCAAACAGG
rnacentral:rRNA from 2 species